CAGCAGCCGCGGGAAAACGGAGGGUGCAAGCGUUAAUCGGAGUUACUGGGCGUAAAGCGCACGCAGGCGGUUUGUUAAGUCAGAUGUGAAAUCCCCGAGCUUAACUUGGGAACUGCACUUGAAACUGGCAAGCUAGAGUCUUGUAGAGGGGGGUAGAAUUCCAGGUGUAGCGGUGAAAUGCGUAGAGAUCUGGAGGAAUACCGGUGGCGAAGGCGGCCCCCUGGACAAAGACUGACGCUCAGGUGCGAAAGCGUGGGGAGCAAACAGGAUUAGAUACCCCUGUAGUCCCUGUCUCUUAUAA
rnacentral:rRNA from 1 species